rnacentral:pre_miRNA from 1 species
GAUUUCAACUAAGAAGGUGAUCAACAACAGAGAUGUAUAACUCAUCAAAAUCUAUAACUUUUAUUUUGGUCAUUUCUUCAUCCAACGAAGUGUUAGUAACAUUGUUCGACAUAUAUGUGUUAUACUUUAUAAACUAGAUAAGAGAUACGUGAAUUUUAUGAACAAUAUUACUAUCACUUUAUCGGAUGAAGAAAUGACCAAAAUAAAAAUUAUAGAUCUUGAUGAGUUAUACAUCUUUGUUGUUGAAGACUUUUUCAAUUAAAAUU